AGAACACAAAGGUGACACAAACUCCAGAGAGUAUGCUGCUUGCAGCUUUGAUGAUUGUAUCAACGGUGCCUGCAGGUGUACCCAACAGCUCCGAAGAGACAGCGACCAUCGAGAACGGGCCAUGAUGACGACGGCGAUUUUGUCCAAAAGAAAAGGGGGAAAUGGGAAAAGAGAGAUCAGACUGUUACCGUGUCUAUGCAGAAAUAAGUAGACAUAAGAGACUCCGUUUUGUUCUGUACCAAGAAAAUUCUUCUGCCUUGAGAUGCUGUUAAUCUGUAACCCUAGCCCCAACCCUGUGCUCGCAGAGACAUGUGCUGUGUUGACUCAAGGUUUAAUGGAUUUACCAAAGGGCUAUGCAGGAUGUACUUUGUUAAAAAAAAGUGCUUGAAGGCAGUAUGCUUGUUAAAAGUCAUCACCAUUCUCUAAUCUCAAGUACCCAGGACACAAUACACUGCGGAAGGCCACAGGGACCUCUGCCUGGGAAAGCCAGGUAUUGCCCAAGAUUUCUCCCCAUGUGAUAGCCUGAGAUAUGGCCUCAUGGGAAGGGUAAGACCUGACUGUCCCCCAGCCCUACAUCCCCCAGCCCGACACCCGAAAAGGGUCUGUGCUGAGGAGGAUUAGUAAAAGAGGAAGGCCUCUU
rnacentral:lncRNA from 1 species